rnacentral:rRNA from 1 species
UGGGGAAUUUUUCGCAAUGGGGGAAACCCUGACGAAGCAACGCCGCGUGGAGGAUGAAGGCCCUCGGGUCGUAAACUCCUGUCGAUCGGGAAGAAUGCGUGCGGGUUAAUACCCCGUUGCGUUGACUGUACCGGUGGAGGAAGCCACGGCUAACUCUGUGCCAGCAGCCGCGGUAAGACAGAGGUGGCAAGCGUUGUUCGGAAUUACUGGGCGUAAAGGGCGCGCAGGCGGUUCGUCAAGUCCCGUGUGAAAUCCCCCGGCUCAACUGGGGAACUGCGCGGGAAACUAGCGGGCUUGAGUUCGGGAGAGGAAAGCGGAAUUCCGGGUGUAGCGGUGAAAUGCGCAGAUAUCCGGAGGAACACCAGUGGCGAAGGCGGCUUUCUGGACCGACACUGACGCUGAGGCGCGAAAGCUAGGGGAGCGAACGGGAUUAGAUACCCCCGUAGUCC